rnacentral:tRNA from 1 species
UGGAUCACCUCCUAACAGGGAGACAACAAAAUGUUUAAUAUUAUUAUUUUGUCACCUUAGGUCGAUCGGUAUCUCACUUUUUAAUUUAUUAAGAAUUUCUUUUCCUAAGUUUUUCUAGGUCACACCCAUUAUUUUCCUGGGCCAUUAGCUCAGGUGGUUAGAGCGCACCCCUGAUAAGGGUGAGGUCCCUGGUUCAAGUCCAGGAUGGCCCAUAUCUCUAUGUUGGGGGUUUAGCUCAGUUGGUAGAGCGCCUGCUUUGCAAGCAGGAUGUCAGGAGUUCGAGUCUCCUAACCUCCACUGACCGAACUUGAUUCCCAUCUCCAAUUUUUUGGAGUUGAGCUCGAUUGGCGUGUGAUUUAGAUGUGUCCGCUGGAUGACCCCAGCUUCCUGUCAUUCCAAGUUUUAGGUUGAAGCCUUGAAUUUGGUUGAUAAGAUGCUGGGCUCGGAUCAAAUGAUCAAGCAAUUGAUGGUUUGAUUUGAAGUUCUAGCAGAACCUUGACAACUGCAUAGGUGAGUCUGGAAAAAACAAAGCAUCUUACAGAUGCAUUGUUUUGAAUCCGAUCUUCUGAAAGGGAGAUUGGAUCUAGAACAAUGAAAAUUCUUUUGAGCAAGAGCCGAGACUCUUGAGCGUUCUUUGAUUGGUGUCGAGCCAAUCAGAGUUUGAUCUUGUUUUUAGCGAUAAAAACUUGAAAAUCUGCUUUCAACGGCGGUAAGCGUUCAGGAGGUUAAUUGGUCAAGCUACAAAGGGCUCACGGCGGAUACCUUGGCACACAGAGGCGAUGAAGG